GGGGCUGCAAGGGGUGCCCCAAGUAGGAGUAAUCCUACUUGGGCGCCUCCUCCAAGUCGGCCUCCCCCCUUCCAUAUACAUCAUAGGGGGAAGGAAAGAUAGGGGGAAGGGAAGGAAAGGGGGAGGAUGAAUCCUCCCCUUUCCUU
rnacentral:sRNA from 1 species